CCUACGGGGGGCAGCAGUGAGGAAUAUUGGUCAAUGGGCGAGAGCCUGAACCAGCCAAGUCGCGUGAAGGAUGACGGCCCUACGGGGUGUAAACUUCUGUUGUCAGGGAGCAAGGGGGGCCACGCGUGGGCUUAGCGAGAGUACCUGAAGAAAAAGCAGCGGCGAACUCCGUGCCAGCAGCCGCGGUAAGACGGAGGAUGCGAGCGUUAGCCGGAUUUCUGGGGUUGAAAGGGUGCGUAGGCGGAAUAUCAAGUCAGCGGUAAAAAUUCGGGGCUCAACCCCGUCGUGCCGUUGAAACUGUUGUUCUUGCGUGGGCGAGCAGUAUGCGUACUGCGUGGUGUCGC
rnacentral:rRNA from 1 species